rnacentral:lncRNA from 1 species
CAAAUCCUAUUUCUUUUUAGAAAAUAUUAAAAAAUCAUUUUUUAUUCUUUAAUUUAAAAAUAAUUUUUAAAAGCAAGUAGAAAAAAGCAUUGCUAAUUCGACGCCCUAAAUUUCUAAUAUGUAAACAAGCAUAUAGGAAGUGAGCAAUGGGGAUGCCAAGAACGAACUCUCAGUUAAUUUUGGUCAUGCUUAUCCGAUUUCAUCAAACUUAGUUUCCAACACUUAAAAAUCAAACAUAAUUGUGACUUAAGUUGUCAAUGAAUAAAAAGCAACUCAAAACGGAAGAGAUGGAGUAGUUAUAUAACAUACCCAUGCUGCACAUGCCAUCCAGACAGACCGCCGACUUCGGUCAGUGCCGCCCUCCAUCUAAGCACCCUCUCCUCAGUGACGUUUCCAUAUCUUGCAAAUGCUUCUCCAAAACUUCUCGUUUGUUUCCGCACAUCAGACAGAUCCACAUGGUAGAAAAUUGGUAGAACUUUUUGGCCAUUUUCUCUGCUGCACUGCAUGAUCUUAUCAAGCUCAUCCAAGCACCAUUUUGAAUGAGCAUAGUUUUUGGAAAAAACUGUAGGGAAUUAAACCAAAUUCCCAACCUAUGAGAAACAAAAAUAGAAAAACACAUGCCAAAGAAAAGACAAUCACACGCACAAAACAGUAUUUACGUGGUUCGGCAAUUUGCCUACGUCCAGGGAGUUGUAGGGAUAUCACUAUUAUCAGGGAAGAAUACAGAGUACGACUUAGCGGCUAUAAUAUUCUCUCUAUAUAUAUAGCACGGCAACCCCACCAUACUAAAAAACCCUAAUUACAAAAUGUGGUUCCACAAUGGGUUAAACGGGCCCAACAGGCCUCAAUAAAUCUCCCAUUAAAAAGUCAUGCAAUAUUAUUCGAGUCGGGUCGUUAAACCGGAUCAAACAAAACUAGGCUCCACACAGCCCAACAAAUCUCCCACUUGGAGACUAGUCCAAUCACCAACAUCAAACCGCUAUCCUCCAAGAAACAAUCCCUCAUCCCUACAACUCAUCCUCCUGUCCUCAAGCUAAAAGACCAAUUGAAGCUGCGCAUAACUUCAACUUCUCAAUAGUGAUCAGUUUCACAUCUCUUGAACCUAAUUCUAUGCAUAAAAUUGUCAAACUUCUUAUACCACUGUCUAGGAGCUUGUUUAAGGCCAUACAAGCUCUUUCUCAGUUUGCAGACUAGAUUCUCUUGUCCCUGAACAAUGAACCCUUCUGGCUGAAUUAUGUAAAGGUCUUCCUCCAAGUCACCAUGAAGGAAUGUUGUCUUCACAUCUAACUACUCAAGAUGUAAGUUUUCUGCAGCCACCAUUCCAAGUACAAGUCUAAUUGUUGACAUCUUCACAACUGGAGAAAAUAUCUCUGUGUAGUCAAUGCCCUCCUUCUGCUAGAACCCUUUAACAACUAAUCUAGCCUUGUAACGUUUGCUACUAUCAUGCUCAUUCUUUAUUCUGUAUACCCACUUGUUGUGCAAAGCCUUCUUUCCUACUGGCAAUUCAGUUAGUUCCCAUGUUUGAUUCCCCAACAGGGAAUCCAUCUCAUCCUUCAUGGCUAACUCCCACUUGCUUGAAUUCUCAUCUUGCAAGGCUUCAUCAUAACACUCUGGCUCACCACCAUCAGUCAACAGGAGAUAAUUUAAAACAGGUGAAUAACGCUACGGAGGUCUAAUGUUCCUGGAAGAUCUGCGAACUUUAGCUACAAGUGUACUCAAAUCUACCUGUGAAUUUACAUUCUCCUUAUCUUCUUCACCCCCUUUUUGGAUAGUACUUUCAGUCAAUUCAUCUAAGUUGACAAACUCAGAUUUCUUUUGAUCUAUCUCUGUAACAUCUGACACUAUAGUUGACCUGUCCUUAUACAUAACCUGUUUAUUAAAUAUCACAUUUCUACUUCUGAUGAUUUUCUUGUUUUGUUCAUCCCAAAACCUAUAGCCAAAUUUCUCAUCACCAUAGCCAAUGAAAAAACAUAUUUUUGACUUUGCAUCAAGUUUACUACGAGCAUCAGAAUCAAUAUGAACAUAAGAAACACAACCAAAAACUUUUAAAUGUGAAAACUUCACCUCUUUACCGCUCUAAACCUCCUUAGAAAGUCUGAACUCCAUGGGAACUAAUGGUCCUCGGUUUAUCAGGUAAGCUGCAGUGCUAACAACAUCAGCCCAAAAAGUUUUUGGUAGUUCAGCAUGCAACCUCAUACUUCUAGCACGCUCAUUGAGAGUUCUGUUCAUGCGCUCAGCCACACCAUUCUGCUAUGGUGUCCCAAGAAUGGUUUUCUCCAUCCUAAUUCUCUGUGCAACACAAUACUCACUAAACCCUCCAUCUAUGUACUCUCCUCCAUUAUCUGACCUCAAAUAUUUUACUUUCAAACCUGUUUCUGUCUCAACCAUGGCCUUCCAUUUCUUAAAAGUUUCAAAUACAUCAGACUUAUUUUUCAGAAAAUAAACUCAUACCUUUCUACUUGGAGUCAUCAAUAAAAGUGAUGUAGUACCUUGAAUCUCCUAGGGAUGCAACCGGAGAAGGCCCCCACAAAUCAGUGUGUACUAGUUCCAAUUUUUCAGCCUUCUGUGUCCUGCCAGUUUUCAAGAAGCUCACCUUUUUUUGCUUUCCUAAGAUGCAACUUUCACACAUGUCAAAAUCAAUGGACUUCAAUUCUGGUAGUUUUCCUUUUGACAACAACAUCUUCAUCUCUUUCUCACUCAUGUGACCAAGUCUGCGGUGCCAUAGGCUUGUAUCAGUACUUGCAUCAACAAUUGCAAUUGUGUCUCUUGGACAUGAGAUCAUAUACAGAGUACCGGUCUUCUUUCCACGAGCCAAUACCCUAGCUCCCUUUGUAACCUUCCAAGUACCACCAACAAAUAGUAUUGCAUGUCCUUCAUCAUCAAGUUGUCCAACAGAAAUCAGAUUCCUCCUCAGGUCAGGAAUAUGUCGAACCUUCUCCAAUAACCAAACAGACCCAUUGGGCAACGAUAUCCAGACGUCUCCCAGACCCACAACAUCCAAGGCUGAACCAUCAGCCAAAUACACCUUACCAAAAUCACCUGUAACAUAAUUCUGUAUGAUUUCUCGGUGUGGAGUGGUAUGAAACGAAGCUCCUGAAUCCAAAACUCAAUCAUCAAGUGGACUGUCUACUGCAAGAAGUAAUGCAUCAUGUACCUCUUCUGUUACAACAUUAGCAGAAUCAUCUUCAUUCUUCUUCUUAGGGCUUUUGCAUUGCCUUUUAAAGUGACAUGUUUUCCCACAAUUCCAGCAUUGUACUUGUUGGCCUGAUCUAGAUUUGCUUCUGUUUCGAUUAGAAUUUCUGGAAUUUGAUCUACCCCGAUUUGAAUUUCUGUCAUUACCUUUGCCUCUUGUCUCAAGGUUUCACCUGCAUCUCUUCGGUGAAUCUCCUCAACCAUAAUUAAAUCUUGUAUAUCAUUGUACUUGAGCUUUUCCUUUCCCGUCGAAUUGCUUACUACCAUCCUCAUUGCCUCCCAACUGUUUGGCAAAGAAGCCUAGACGAUUAGAGUACGAAUCUCAUCAUCAAAAUCAAUUUCUACAGAUGACAAUUGAUUUGUGAUUGUAUUAAAUUCAUUCAGAUGUUGUGCUACUGAUGCAUUCUCUGCCAUCUUCAAAUUGAACAAUUUCUUCAUCAGAUGCACCUUAUUGUUUGCGGGCGGCUUUUCAUACAUACCGGACAAAGCCUUCAUCAAAUCUGUUGUGGUCUUCUCCUUUACAACAUUAUGUGCAACAGACCUAGACAGAGUUAACCUAAUAACUCCUAGAACCUGUCUGUCAAGAAGCGCUCAUUCCUCAGCCUUCAUACUCUCAGGUUUUGUCCCCAAAAGAGGCAGAUGCAAUUUCCUCCCAUAGAGAUAAUCUUCAAUCUACAUCCUCCAAUACGCAAAGUCUGUGCCAUCAAACUUUUCUAUUCCAGACGUUUUUCCUACUUCCUCUGCCAUUGCUCCCACUCAAACCUAACCCUAGGCUCUAAUACCAAUUGUAGGGAAUUAAACCAAAUUCCCAACCUGUGAGAAACAAAAAUAGAGAAAACACACGCCAAAGAAAAGAUAAUCACACGCACAAAACAAUAUUUACGUGGUUCGGCAAUUUGCCUACGUCCACGGAGUUGCAGGGAUAUCACUAUUAUCAGGGAAGAAUACAGAGUACGACUUAGCGGCUACAAUAUUCUCUUUAUAUAUAUAGCACGGCAACCCCACCAUAUUAAAAAACCCUAAUUACAAAAGGUGGUUCCACAAUGGGCUAAACGGACCCAACAGGCCUCAAUAAAUCUCCUAUUAAAAAGCCAUGCAAUAUUAUUCAGGUCGGGUCAUCAAACCGGAUCAAAUAAAACUAGGCUCCACAAAGCCCAACAAAAACUACAAUAGACAUCUUUGAUUCUUCAAUAGCUUUCAAGAGUCAAGUUUGAAUCUCUCCUCUUCUUUGAAGUCCUUCUUCAUCUCUAAAGGUGUGGAUGUACCUACUCGUCAAAGCCGAAUAAAGAUGAUCCGUAAAAUUUGAAGCUGGUAUCUUCCCCUCUAAAGCUCAAAAAAACAUCCCAUCUCCGAUAUUGAAAAGAAGAGGUGCCUGAAGAAGCCAUUCUUGGGAGCUAUCUGGUUGUGAGUCCCAAAUUCCAAGACACUGAGAAAAUUUUGGGUCGUCAUGGAAAGAUUCUCUCUCUCGACCUUUUUAACAUAGGAACUUCCUCUAAUCUUGCAAGGAACUUUCAUAUUUUUUAUUUUAUCUUAUUCUUUUUAGUUUUUAAUUUUGUUAAUGCCUAUAUGCAUUGUGUUUGGAACAAAGGGCGAGGCUUCAUGGAAAGGCCGGUGCAUUUUCUUUCUGUGAGAGGUGAAUAGGCCAGGAAAGAAGGUGGACAUCAAAGUCAACACUGACUGCUAUUGCCUGCCUCUUUUCUCAUUUUUGGACUAUGUUGUAGCUUUUUCAUUCCUUAAUCCCAUACCAUCAGUAAUCAACAUUUUAUCAAUUUUUCUUAUUUUUUAUUGUUUACAUUUAGAAAUAUUAAUUUUAAAAUUUUAACUUAUAAGUUAAUUUAUAACCACAGCAACAACAACAACAAUAAUUAGGAGUAAAGCAUAUUAAAGGUUUGUUGAGAAUGAUUUUGAUAAAAAUAAUUUAAACUUGUAAUAGUAUUAUUAAUAACAAUUUAUUAUAUAUAAAUUUUUAUAGUCAUUUAAUGUUCACAUAUAAGUGAAAAAAUGUUCUUGAUAAUUUGUGUAUUAAAGGUUUGGGAUACAAUUUUAAAAUUCACCUUCCCUAUUUUGUCAUCAAUGAUUCGCUGAGUCCUUUUUAAAAAUGAUAAAAUUUAAAAUAAAAUUCACUUUGUGUCUUGACGCUUUUUCUUUUUGACCAAGACUCUCUGUGUCAGCCUGACGCUUUUUCUUUUUUACCAAGACUCUGUGUUUAUAUGAGGGAGAGAAAGAGAGAGAGAGAGAGAGAGAGAGAGAGAGAGAUAUGCUCUUUUUAGCAAGGUGGCAUCUCAGCAACUACAAGGUUUUUGAGACAAUUAUUUUCUUGGCUAUAGAAUUGCUAAGCCCUAUUUCAUAUUUGAUUUUCACUUGGGAAAAUAAGAAAUGUUUUAACUUUCUCUAAUUUUAUUUUUUUCCCUUUCGUUUUUUCAACCUCUAAAUUUUACAACAUGCAAAUGCAAUUAAUAAUUAUUGACUUACAAAAAUAAAUUAAAUUAUCUCAAUUUCAUUUUCAUGUAAUUGAAUUGAAAAAUGAAUUUACCGUAAAUGAGAAAAAAUGUUAAUUAAAAAACCAAGCUAAUUUGAAAUAGGUGGUAUUUUUUAUCAAGAAAAUUUAAAUCUAAAACUUUUAAAUUUUCACUCAAAAGAAAAAUUGGUAAAUACAAAUAACUUAAUUUGAUUAAGAAAUGAACCUAACAGCCUUCUUGUCCAUCUUGUUGCGUAGAUGAUUAGGUACAAAGACAUAGCAAACACAUCCGAAAACUCGAAAAUAACUAACUGUAGGCUUUAUGUUCCACAAUUUUUCAAAGGGUGAUGAAAAAUUUAACCUUUGUUGAGGAAGCCUAUUGAUCACAAAAGCUGCAGUCUUCAUUACUUCUGCCCAAAACCGUCCUGGAACAUUCUUUGCAUGAAGCAUACUUCUACAGAUUUCUGCUAGGUGCCUGUUCUUUCUUUUUGCUACGCCGUUUUGAUGCGGAGUGUUGGCACAUGUGAAUUGAUGGCGUACUCGGCAUUCUCGGAGGAAGUAAAAAAACUCAUCUGAGGUAUACUCUCCCCCAUUGUCAGUACACAGACAACAAAUUCUCUUAUCAACCUCUGCUUCCGUCAUUUCCUUGAAUUCUUUAAACUUUGAGAAAGUUUCAGAUUUUUAUUUCAUAAAGUACACCCACACGUACUUGGAAAAAUCAUCAAUAAAGGUCACCAUGUAUUUCAUCCCACUAAGAGAGGCUUGCUUAACAGGUCCAAACACAUCAGAGUGAAUUAGCUCUAAUGGCCCCUUUGCUUUCCAUUUUGACUCUUCAUACGGCAACUGAUGCGCUUUGCCGUACUGACGUCCUGCGCAGAUUGUAUCUUUUCUCACUUCAAGUUGUGGAAGUCCCUUCAGCAUUGACUUUUUCAUCAUCACAGUUAGUUUGGAAUAACUAACGUGACUUAAUUGCAUAUACCAUAAAUCGGCUGUCUCGUUCUUUCUGGUCUUGUCUACAUAUGCGGUUUCUGCAAACAUCACAUAGACUGACUCUAGUCUCCGUCCCUUUAUCACCGGCUCUUCCAUAAUCUCAAGGUCACGAUAAACUUUCACAUCUUGAGGGCCAAAUAGAACAAAAUGGCCUGAAGACGUUAAUUGUGCAACCGAGAGAAGAUUUUUCUUCAUACCUGGGACGUGAUAGACAUUUUGAAGCAUCACAUCAUUAGUAUUAUAUUGGGAAAAGACUACUGUAUUACCAAUGUGAGCUAUUGGUAGUUUUGAGUUGUUCGCUGUGACUACCAUAUGUCUUCCCUUGUACUCCGAAAAAUCCUGCAGCUUUUCUUUAUCACCUGUCAUAUGAUUUGGGUAGCCUGAGUCAAUGAUCCAAUCCUUCUCAUAAUGAAUUUGUUUAGACGUUGUUGCUAUAAAAGCUAAUUCUCCUAUUACAACAAAAAAUGCCUGAGUGUCCCACUCAUCUUCACUUUUGGAAGUAGCAGCAUUACUUUCCACAAGCCCUUUUUUCGACCAACAAUCUUUUGCCAUGUGACCCUUUUUUCCGCAAUUGUAGCACUUCCCUUCAAAUUUUUUUCCUGGUGCCAGGAUUCUUCGAAUCUCCCUCAACACGAGCACUCCUUUCACCUUGACUACUUUUUGCCUUGUCCUCAUUCUUUUUAGUUCUAUCGACGGUGUGCUGCUUGGAAUUCCACCUGCCUUUGUGGGCAUAAAGCGCUUCCUCUUCACCCUUGAGUGAAACCCCUCCCAUUUGUUUAGCUAAGGCUUCUUGACCAGUAAGCAAAUUCUCAAACUCAACAAGUGAUGGUUGAUUUUGCCAUCCCUGUACAACAGCAACAAAACCUCUGAAUUCUGGUCUCAAACCAUGGAUGAUUAUUCUCUUCAUCCUGGUUUCACCGAUUGGGGCUUCUAGAUCCAACUCGAAAAUUUCCCGGCAUAACGUCUUCACCUUGUGAAAGUACUGAGUGAUCGUCAAGUCACGUUGUGCUACCGACAACAACUCGCUCUCUAGAAGUUGGAGCCUUGUGUCAUUCUUCUUUGAGAACAGCUUGGUGAACGUAUUCCAAGCUUCGUAAGGGGUUUUGGCAUCUCAAAUGUGCUCUAGCACAUCUUCUUCGAUCGUUGUCUUCAAAGCAAACAUCGUUUUGCCUGCUUUUAUCUUCCAUAUCCGCAGUAUACCAUUCACAUCCUCAGCCUCCAAUUGAGUAAUUUCGCUUCUGUUCACAACCUCCCACAAGUCUUGGCCUUGCAUGUACGACAUCAUGCAUGUUAACCAAGUAUUGUAAUUUUGGUUGUUGAGCUUUUUUAUUCCGCCAAUGACUUGAAGAUCACCCAUUUCACUCUCUCUUUUCCUCACGUGUUUGACUCUCAAACACUCUCUAAAAUCCCUCUUCAACCUGACUCUGAUACCAAAUGUUGAAACCACUUUAUAAAAGAGACACAUAGAGGAGGAAAGAAAAUAAUUUUAUUGAUAGGGUGAUAUUUUUAAACUUCACCUGAUACAAGCCUUUUAUAGGCAAAACCAUCAACAGAAAUAGAAAUACUAAAAAAUAGGAAUAGAAAGAUAACCAGUCACUCUAAACGUGCUGCAACGACCUCUCUAAGACUUGGACAAUUCUUAAUUUAUUGAAAAACUACACAGAGGCAUAUUUUUGACACAAAAACAAACUUGACUUGUUCAAUACAUCCUCUCGGUCACAUGCUGAUGUUGAUAACUUAAACAACUUAUUUGUACAAAUUUUUCCCCUAGGAUAUCUGCUAGAAGUUGUUUUUGUAAUUCAAGCAAUGGAUAGUGUUGCCAUGCCUCACGAACAUUUGAAAGAAAGAUAGCAUCUUCAAAUUGAUGAGCAAUUUCGUUGUAUAUUACUUUGGCGAGGAUGGUCUUUCCUAUUCCACCAAGUCCAUAUAUUCCUAUCACGCGAACAUCAUUUGACCAGUGCAUUCAUUUCUUCCAAACGGAAAUCCAUUCCGACGAGGUUCUCAUCAACAUGAAAGCGUUUAGGUUAUGUUUGGUUCCCGAAAAAUAUUAAAGAAAGAAAAAAAAUGCAAAGAAAAAUGAUUUUUUCAUGUUUGGUUGUCCUAUGAAAAAUAUAAAAGAAAAUCAAAUAUAAUUAAAACUAAUUAAAAACUUAUGUAUUUUAAAAUUAUUUAAUCUUUAUAUUAAUGAGUUAAAAUAAAUAAAAUGAGUUUGAAGUAAAAAAUAAAAAUAACUAAUCAACUUUUAAUCCAUUUUUUAUUUUCCUUCACUUUUUCUUUCCUUCUAUUUUUCCUUUGUAUUUUCUUUCUCUUGCAUUUUCCUUCAAAUUUUCUGAGAACCAAACAUAGCCUUAGGCUUCAGCAUAUUGGAAACGUUUUGAGUAAUGCGAUGAAUGAUCUCAGAUUCCCAAAUGGAAAGCACAAUAUAACAACCUCCAAUGAACUACAAAUUAAUUGUAAGAAAAAAAAAAUUGAUGAUGAUUUAGUUUUAGUUUUUUUUGAAGCAGGUGAAACUAUUGGUGGCAGACUGGCAGUUGCCAUUAGAAAAAUGAAAAAUACCAAUCGAGUUUAUUUGUGCCGCAGGUGAAACUACUUAGUUUUUUUAAAAUUACUUUUCUAUUUUUUAAAUAUGAUUUAAAAAUACCUUUCUAUUUUUUAAAUAUGAUUUAAACGUUUUUCUAUUUUUGAAAUUAAAACCCUAUUUUAAAAAAAUUAUGGUCAGUUUGGUGGUCAUUCUCUACAAAUAAUCUUUAAAAAUAAGAUGAAAUAAAAAAGAAUUUUGGAGAACAAGUAAUAUAAGUUAUUUUUACAUAUUUAUAAAAACAAAGAAAAGCAUUGGGAAGUAAUUUAAAAAAGAAAAUAAUAAAAAAAUAAACAAAGUCUGAUAGAUCUCUUUCUUCUUUUAUUCUCUCUCCACCAAUCAAUAUCAAAAUUUUUAAAUAUGAUUCCUUUUUAAUUACACUUUAUUUAUUUAUUUAUUUGAAUUUACUUUAACUUUUAAAAUUCUUUAGGUAAAUAAAUUCCAAAUCAAAUGGUACAUGAUAUAUAUGAUUUAUUAAUUUAAAAAAAAAAAUUAAAACUCAAAAACCAAUCCAAUUAGUGUUGGAAAGUUACAAAACUCAAAACCAAUAUAGAAAACAAAUUUUGUUAAUUUUUUUACCAUGAACUUCAAAUCAAGUAAAAUUUAAUAUUUUUUUAUUCAUAAAUAAGUUUAGUAAUUUUUAAAAAUAAUUUCAAACUCAAAUAAUAACUCAAUUAAUAUAAAAAAUUUAUAAACAAAAAUUAGUUUAAAAUUACUUUAUUGUUUGACUAAUCUAUAGAAUCAUUUUUUUCUUUAAUUUGUUAGCAAGUUUAUUAAUUAAAAAAAAUAUAGAAUUCAAAACAUAACACAAUUAGUAGUGGAAAUUCACAAUCUAAAAUCUAUCCAAAAUGACUCUUAUAUUUCUCAUACAAAACUUUAUUUUUAUGAGUUUUGUCGCUGAAAAAAUGGAUUUUUAAUAGAAUUCAAAAAUAGACCAAAGUACUAUAAAAAAUAAUAAACCAAAAUUAAUACAUAAUAAGUUAUAACUUACUGUUUCUCCUAAGCGCAUAACCAUAUUUUCCAAAUUUUCUUGCUAGGUAAAUAGAAUCUAAAUCGGGACUUAAUAUCUUAAAUUCUUUAAUGAAUCUUCUCAUUUUUAAGAUAAUUUGAAAUUAAAAAAAAAAAACUAAAGAUAAAAACUAAUCCAAAAUACUAUGCCCUUAAUUGAAUGGUAAAUGUAUAGAUGUACUAAAAAUUUUACAUAUUUAAAUAUUAAAAAUAUUAAACUUUAUUUAUUUUUAAUAAAUCGAGACUUAAUAUCUUAAAUUCUUUAAUGAAUCUUCUCAUUUUUAAGAUAAUUUGAAAAAAAAAAACUGAAGAUAAAAACUAAUCCAAAAUACUACGUCCUUAAUUAAAUGGUAAAUGUAUAGAUGUAAUAAAAAUUUUACAUUUUUAAAUAUUAAAAAUAUUAAACUUUAUUUAUUUAAAAUUUUUUUUUUGAAUAAAUCAAGACUUAAUAUCUUAAAUUCUUCAAUGAAUCUUCUCAUUUUUACGAUAAUUUGAAAUUUAAAAAAAAAAUUGAAGAUAAAAACUAAUCCAAAAUAGUAUAUCCUUAUUUGAACGGUAAAUAUAUAGAUGUGAUAAACUUUUUUACAUAUUUAAAUAUUAAAAAUAUUAAACUUUAUUUAUUUUUAAAUUUUAUUGAAUAAAAUAUUAUUAAUUUUAAAUUAUUAUUUAUUUUAAUAAAAAAUCAAUUAAGCUUGAGAAAGAUGAUCACAUUUUUAUAACAUGUACUAAAAUAGUAUCAUUUUUGUAUAUAUAUAUAUAUAUAUAUAUAUAUAUAUAUAUAUAUAUAUAUAUAUAUAUAUAUAUAUAAUUCAUUAUUUUAGUACAUGUAAACAAGCAUAUAGGAAGUGAGCAAUGGAUGCCAAGAACGGACUCUCAGUUAAUUUUGGUCAUGCUUAUCCGAUUUCAUCAAACUCAGUUUCCAACACUUAAAAAUCAAACAUAAUUGUGACUUAAGUUGUCGAUGAAUAAAAAGCAACUCAAAACGGAAGAGAAAGAGUAGUUAUAUAACAUGCCCAUGCUGCACAUGCCAUCCAGACAGACCGCCGGCUUCGGUCAGUGCCGCCCUCCAUCUCAGCACCCUCUCCUCAGUGACGUUUCCGUAUCUUGCAAAUGCUUCUCCAAAACUUCCCGUUUGUUUCCGCACAUCAGAUGGAUCCACAUGGUAGAAAAUUGGUAGAACUUUUUGGCCCUUUUCUCUGCUGCACUGCAUGAUCUUAUCAAGCUCAUCCAAGCACCAUUUUGAAUGAGCAUAGUUUUCUGAAAAAACGACAACAGAAAUCAUUGAAUCUUCAAUAGCUUUCAAGAGUGAAGGUUGAAUCUCUCGUCCUCUUUCAAGUCCUUCAUCAUCUCUAAAGGUGUCGAUGCCCAUCCUCGUCAAAGCCGAAUAAAGAUGAUCCGUAAAAUUUAAGCGGGUAUCUUCCCCUCUAAAGCACAAAAAAACAUCCCAUCUCCAUUGAAAAGAAGAGGUGCCUGAAGAAGCCAUUCUUGGGAGCUAUCUGGUUGUUAGUCUCAAAUUACAAGACAAUCAGAAAAUUAUGGGUUGUUGUGGGAAGGUUUUAUCUCUCCACCCUUUUAACAGAGGAGCUUCCUCAAAUCUUGCAAGGAACUUUCAUAUUUUUUAUUUUAUCUUAUUCUUUUUAGUUUUUAAUUUUGGUAAUGCCAUAUGCAUUGUGUUUGGAACAAAGGGCGAGACUUUAUGGAAAGGUCGGUGUUGAGAAUCAGAAGAACCUGAAACUGAUGAAAAACACCAAGAAACAGAGGAUGUAAAAGAAAAUGGAUUGUAGAAAAGAAAACUAAAAAAUUACAUCAGACUUGAGUCCUAUUUAUAACACAUCAAUGACACAAUAACAGAGUAACAAAAAUAAACUGAAAUAACAACUUUUCUAACUAACUCUUCUCAUCUAACUUGCUACAUCAGACUUGAGUCCUAUUUAUAACACAUCAAUGACACAAUAACAGAGUAACAAAAAUAAACUGAAAUAACAACUUUUCUAACUAACUCUUCUCAUCUAACUUGCUUUCUAUUUUAAGUCUUUCUUCUUUCCUUUUUAGUUCCAUGCUUUCAAUAUGAGAUGCAACACUCCAACACCCCCCCUCAAGAUGAACAUGGAUGUUAAUGAUGUUCAUCUUGCGAAGAUUAUGAUGAAAAGGUAGAGAACCGAGAGGCUUUGUAAAGAUAUCUGCGAGCUGUAAUCGUGAUGGAAUAUGGAAGAGCUUAAUAACAUGCUGCUGCAAUUUUUCACGAAUAAGAUGGCAGUCAAUCUGGAUAUGCUUUGUUCUCUCGUGCUGAACUAGAUUUGUGGCGAUGGACAUUGCUGAUUGACUGUCAGUAUAUAGCAAAGCUGACUGUGAAUGUUUGAUAUCCAGGUCUUGUAAGGCAUACAAAAGCCAUUGAAUUUCACAGGUGGUAGUUGAAAGGGCUCGGCACUCUGCCUCUGCAGAGGAUCGACUAACUGUAACUUGUUUCUUUGAUUUCCAUGAAAUCAAGGAGUUGCCAAGAAAAAUUGCAAAACCAGUGACACUCCUUCUAGUAUCGACACAGCCUGCCCAAUCACUAUCGGAAAAACCCUUUAAUUGAAAAUCUGAGGAAGAAGGAAAAAAGAGACCUUGCCCUGGUGUGGCCUUUAGAUACCUCAGUACUCGAAUGGCUGCUUGAUGGUGACUAACAGCAGGUUUUGCUAAAAAUUGGCUGAGUACUUGUACAGAAUAGGCUAAGUCAGGCCUAGUGAGAGUUAAAUAAAGUAAUCUGCCAAUGAGUCUUCGGUAACCUGAUGGAUCUUCAUAGAAAUUGGUAUCAUUUGCUAAUAACUUGAGGGUAGAUUCCAUGGGAAAGGCAGCAGGUUUGGAUCCAGUUAAACCAGUGUCUUCAAGUAUGUCAAGUAUAUACUUUCGUUGGCAUAAGGAGAUACCAGUCUUGGACCUUGCAACUUCCAAGCCAAGAAAGUAUUUUAGUGGGCCUAAGUCUUUAAUAGUGAACUUGGCAUCUAAAAAGGUCUUCAACCUUUCAAUUUCCAGAAUGUUAUCACUUGCCAAUAGCACAUCAUCCACAUAGACUAAUAAGGCCAUAAAAGAACUUUCAGAUUUCUUAAUGAACAGAGAACAGUCAGAAUUACCUUGAAUAAAUCCAUAGGAAAGAAGGGCCUGGGAUAGUUUGGCAUACCAUUGUCUGGAAGCUUGCUUCAAGCCAUAGAGGCUCUUUAGAAGACGACAAACUUUCUGUUCACCUUGGACAGCCAACCCAGGAGGCAAUUCCAUGUAUACCUCUUCAUGUAAAUCACCAUGCAAAAAUGCAUUAUUAACAUCUAGUUGAUGAAGAUGCCACUGUUUGAUGGCAGCCACAGCAAGUAGUAAGCGAAUGGAUGUAAUCUUGGCCACAGGAGAGAAAGUAUCAAAGAAAUCAAGGCCUUCUUGCUGAGUAUACCCUUUUGCCACCAAUCUAGCUUUAUGUCUUUCUAUAGUUCCAUCAGCUUUAUAUUUCACUUUGAAUACCCAUUUACAACCAAUAGUCCUUUUAUUUUUAGGAAGAGUAACAAGCUCCCAAGUUUUGUUUAACUCCAAAGCAGUAAGUUCAUGUUGCAUGGCAGCUUGCCAUUCAGGGAGGCGAGAAGCUUGGGUGUAUGAUUUGGGUUCUAGAGAGUUUGUGAUAGAGGUGAGAAAAGCUUUAUGGGAUGUAGACAGUCUACUAGUAGAAAGAAAAUGGUGAAGAGAAUAGAAAUUACCUUUAGUGGGAGAACAAUCAAGUGAAGUAGAUGCCUGAGUUGCAUUUUGAGAAGAAGAGACAUUACCACAAUAAUAGUCCUGCAGAUAUGAAGGUUUUUGUUUAAUUCUGGUUGAUUUUCUGAGCUGUAGGACUUUAGGGUCAGUUGAAUCCACAUGGGAUGGAGAGGGAAAUGUAGGUGAGUUGGAUUCAAGAAGGGCAGGAGGUUCAGAGAGAGAAGGAGAAUUAUUAGGUGGUGAUGCAGAUCCCACAUUAUGAUAGGAAUUGAAGAAGGAGGUGGUAGAAGGUGAAUCUGAAAAGGAUUGUGAAAGAGGAAACAUAAAAGAAUGAGUUUCAGGAUGUUGGGGCAACACUUGGAAAGGAAAAAUUGUUUCAUGGAAUAUGACAUUUCGAGAAACAAGGAUCUUAUUGGUGUUUAGAUCCAUGAGUUUAUAACCCUUAAUAUCAGAAGGAUAUCCUAGGAAGAUGCACUUUGUGGCUCGUGAAUCAAAUUUUUGUCUGUGACUAGUUAAAGUGGAUGCAAAACAAAGGCAGCCAAAAACUCUUAAAUGAGAAAGGUUAGGUGUUUUGUUAAAAAGCAUUUCAAAAGGGGUUUUAUUUUGAAGUAGAGGAGUGGGAAUUCUAUUGAUUAUGUGGGCAGCAGUAAGCACACAGUCACUCCAAAAAAUUAAUGGUAGAUUUGCUUGAAACAUUAAGGCUCUAGCAGUGCUUAGUAGAUGUUGAUGUUUUCUCUCCACAACACCAUUUUGUUGAGGAGUUUCGACACAACUUCUCUGAUGCAAAAUACCAUAUUUAUGAUAGAAUUUUGUAAGUAAGAAUUCUGGUCCAUUAUCAGACCUUAUAGCUUUGACAGAAGAAGAAAAUUGGUUUGCUACCAUUUUACAGAAAUUUUUUAUUAAAGAUGGCACUUCUGAUUUAGCUUUAAUCAUGUAUACCCAAGUACACCUUGUGAAGUCAUCGACUAUAGUUAAAAAAUAUCGAAAACCAGAAUAAGAAGUAGUGCCAAAGGGACCCCAUAUAUCACAAUGGAUCAAAUCAAAACUUUUAUUAGAAUUACUCUGUGAUAUAGAAAAAGGAAGCCUUCUUUGCUUUGCUAAAGGACAUAUGUCACAAACAUUUGUAUGAUCAAGAGUGAUAGCAGAGUCAAUCUGUUUGAGGGAAUGGAAUCUUGAACUAGAUACAUGUCCUAAUCUACAAUGCCAUAUAUCUAAGUGUUUGUGAAUAGAGGACAAAGCAAGAGGAACAGAAUUAAACUGAAAUGAAUUGCAGGUUUUAGCUUGUGAUGAAGCUGGAAUUAGAUGGUAAAGUCCUUCUUUUUCAAGAGCAAUCCCAAUCAUCUUCUCCAUUGACUGGUCCUGUAAAAGGCAAUGAGAAGUAGUAAAGGUAAGAGAAAGAUUAGACUGUUUAGUGAGUUUGGAAACGGAUAAUAGAUUGAAUGAAAAAUGAGGAACACACAAGACAUUAUGUAAAAAUAAGGAAUCUGAGAGACAUACAGUACCAAUGUGUGUGGCUGGAACUAUAGUACCAUUAGGAAGAUUGAUGGAUGCAUUAAUUGGUUUAGGUGUAAAAUGGUAUAAAAGUGGUGAACAAAUCAUAUGGUCUGUUGCACCCGUAUCAAGAAGCCAAUAUGAAGUGGAAUUUGGCUUAGAAGUAACAGAAUUACAAGAAAAAAUUGGUUUAAGUGUAGGUUGAACUUUACCAGAAAAGUGAGAGGUGGUGACAAGGUUAACAGCUGGUUGGACAUUAUUCUGAUUGGAAGAAUUGGGUUGAACUGAAUUUGCAAGCGCCACUAGUUUAUGAAAUUCCUCUGGAGUGAAACAAAACUUUUGUUGCUCAUUGCUAUUUUGAUUGGGAACCUUUGGAGUAGUAAUGGCAGCAUGAGCAGAAGCCAUAUUUCUUUUUCCUUUUGGUCUAUUCCAGCCAAGGGGAUAACCAUGAAGUUGAAAACAUUUGUCCACUGUGUGACCAUUAUAGCCACAAUGAGUACAGUGUGGGGCAGAUUUCUUUGGUUUGUCCUUGAAAGAUUGUGGCUGGUAACUCUGCUGAUUGGAUUGCUUUGCCAUCAAAGCAUGAGUCUCAUUACAUGUAGCAGAAUUUGUGAGUUGCCUCUGACUUUCUUCUUGAAGCAGUAGAGAGAAAACCUUGGACAUGUUUGGUAAUGGAACCAUUAGCAGCAAUUGGCUUCUGAUAGAGGCAUAAGAAUCAUUUAACCCCACCAAGAAUUUGAGUACAUAAUCAGAUUGCUGUCUGAUUUGUAGAAAGUUGAAAAGUUCACAAGUGCAUGUUGCCAUCUUGCCACAAGUGCAUGUUGGAAAUGGCCUAUAGCUAAUGUACUCAUCCCAAAAGGUCUUAAAGGUACUGAAAUAUUCAGUAACAGACAAAGCACCUUGACUGAUGCAACUCAAAGAUUUCUCAAGUUGGAAAACCCUUGGUCCAUCACUCCUGAGAUAUCUUACUUUAAGCUCAGUCCAAAGAUCAACAGCAGAUACCACAAACAGCAAGCUAUUUCGUAUUUAUUUUGAAAUGGAAUUCAUCAACCAAGAAAGAACCAGAUUAUUUGCCCUUAACCAUGCUGUGUGUUUAACAAGCUGAUCAAUAGAGGGAGAAACAAUUGAACCAUCUAUAAAUUGUACCUUGUUUUUUACUGUCAAUGCAAUGACUAUCGAACGACUCCAUGCAACAUAGUUUUCUCCAUUGAAGAUUUCUGAUACUAACAAAGCACCAGGAUUGUCGCUUGGAUGUAGGUAAUACGGGCUCGAUGAGUCAUCUGAAGGAUUGAUAGGAGGCUGAUUAAAAGAAUUAGAUGAAGAAGGAAGCACAGGAGAGGGAUUGACAAGAGGAGAAUCACCAAAACUCAUUUUCAAGAAUUUAUUCAAGAAAAUGCAAGAAGCUGGAAGACGAUCAAUGCAAGAAUUCUAGAGCAGAAUUUCGCAAGGCAGAAGUUGAGAAGAAAUUGAUCGAUUUAGGUUGCGGAAGCUUUAGGGUUUGGCUCUGAUACCAUGUUGAGAAUCAGAAGAACCUGAAACUGAUGAAAAACACCAAGAACCAGAGGAUGCAAAAGAAAAUGGAUUGCAGAAAAGAAAACUAAAAAAUUACAUCAAACUUGAGUCCUAUUUAUAACACAUCAAUGACACAAUAACAGAGUAACAAAAAUAAACUGAAAUAACAACUUUUCUAACUAACUCUUCUCAUCUAACUUGCUUUCUAUUUUAAGUCUUUCUUCUUUCCUUUUUAGUUCCAUGCUUUCAAUAUGAGAUGCAACACUCCAACAGCCGGUGCAUUUUCUUUCUGUACAUGAGAGGUGAAUAGGCCAGGAAAGAAGGUGGACACCAAAGUCAACACUGGCUGGUACUAUGCUGCAGCUUUUUCAUUCCUUUAUCCCAUACCAUUAGUAAUCAACUUUUAUCAAUUUUUCUUAUUUUUUAUUGUUUACAUUUAGAAAUAUUAAUUUUAAAAUUUUAACUUAUAAAUUAAUUUAUAACAGCAGCUACAAUAAUAAUAAUAAUAAUAAUAAUUAACUUAAAAAAAAUGAUUCGGAGUAAAGCAUAUUAAAAGUUUGUUGUGAAUGAUUUUAAAAUUCUGCUUCCCUAAAUUGUCAUCAAUGAUUUGCCAAGUCCUUUUUUUAAAAUGAUAAAAUUUAAAAUAAAAUUGGCAAAUAGCAAAAUCCAUAUAGUGAUUUUUAUCAAAUAUAUUUAAAACGUGAGACCAUAAUUUAGAAAGCUAAAAUGAUGUGUUUUACCAUAAUUCUAAAAUCUUGGAAUAAGUGAGGUUUAAGUUACUUGAACAAGUUUGAAACUUGCAUUGAAUCUCUAGAAUAUGAUCAUUGUAAUUUAAAAAAAAAAAAAAAACGAUUAUUCUAAAAGAAAAGACAUGAUGUAGGAUCACAGAGCUAAUGAUUGGGAAAAAAAUUAAGUAAAAAAAAAAAAUGUGUGUAAUGCAUUGUGUAGAUAAGUCAACAUAUGCAUGGCUAAUUAUAGACGAAUUUGCCCCAUUGAAUGUUGGGAGAGAGAGAGAGAGAGAAUAAUUUGCCUAAUCAGAGACAAGGUCCCCACACGCUUUUUCUUUUUGACCAAGACUUGUGUUUAUAUCGAGAGAGAGAGAGAGAGAGAGAGAGAGAGAGAUGUUCUUUUUGGCAAGGUGGCAUCUCAGCAACUACAAGGCUUUGAGACGAUUAUUUUCAUAGCUGUAGAAUUGCUAAGCCCUAUUUGAUAUUUGAUUUUCACUUGGAAAAAUAAGAAAUGUUUUAACUUUGACUAAUUUUUUUUUUUUUUCCCUUUCGUUUUAUCAACCUCUAAAUUUUUCAACAUGCAAAUGCAAUUUUCCAUUAAAAAUUAAAUUAAAUUCAUUUUUAAAAUUUUCAAAUAAUUAUUGACUUACAAAAGUAAAUUAAAUUAUCUCAAUUUCAUUUUCAUAUAAUUGAAUUGAAAAAUGAAUUUAUUGCAAAUGAGGAAAAAUGUUAAUUGAAAAAACCAAACUAAUUUGAAAUAGGUGUUAUUUUUUAUCAAGAAAAUUUAAAUUUAAAACUUUUAAAUUUUUACUCAAAAGCAAAAUCAGUAAAUAAAAAUAACUUAAUUUGGUUAAGAAAUAAAUCUAAAAUAUGACCAUAAAAUUCAAAAAUUGAAACUAAAAUUCAACCAUAUGCAACGAAUAUUUUUGUCUAAUAAGGAUUCAACUUCUUGUGAAAUUACGUUUCAUAAAUUUUUAUAAAUUUUGUCCUUAAAAAAAAUAUAGUAACAUUAAAAAUCAUAUAAUUUGGAUUAAAAAUGAAUUUACCAUCUUUUUUCAAAGUUUACUUAUUUACAAUUAACAAAACUAAAAUCAACCAAUAAUCAUCAAAAUAAAUUUUUCUUCAAUUAGAAGUUUAGAAGGAAUCAACUUUUCCAAUUAUUUUUUGAAAAAUAAAAUAACAAGAUUUGAUAUCCUUCCUCAAAUUAAGAAUAGGAAAUUAAUAAAUUGAUUUCAACAAUGAACACAUAUUUAAUUAACAAAUCCAUAAACAUAAGGAUGCACUACAUAAAAAUCAAUCAUAAUAAAUGAAAUUUAACUUAAAUAAUGUUAAAAAUAAUUAGAAACAAUAAUUAUUACCCAAUUACCAAUUUAUUUAUUAAUUACAUUAAUAAUCAUUAACCAAUAUUUUGUUAUUGUAAUCAAUUUUUCUAUUUAGGUAUAUCUUGAAAUAUGCUAAAUUAUUUUUUCUUUUCAGAUAUCAUAUCUUUAAUAUAUAAAAUAAGAAGAGAUAAAUUAUUAACCAAUGACCAAUUUACCAACCAAUUACAUCAUUAAAUAUUAUAAAAUUUUAAUUAUUGUAACCAAUUGUGUGAUUUUGGGAUAUUUCAAAACAUAUUAAAUUACUUUGUUCUUUGAAAUCAUUAGCUUUCAAAUUAUUAUCUUACUAUAUAAAUAAGAAAAAAUAAAUAAAUUUUGUUAUUUUUAGAAAUUUGGAAAUACAAUAAGUUAUUUAAAAAAAUAUUAAUAUUCAAAUAUCUUUAUCUUAAUUAUAAUAAAAAAAAUUAUCUCAUUAUGUAGACCCCAAAAUUUGCCCUUUUCUUUUACAUUAACUUUGACCCCCAAUUUUGUCUUUAGAUUUAAAAUUUCAAUUACAUUAUUUUUUAACUCGCUCAUCAUUUAAUAGUUUUUAUUAUUUUGUAUAUCAUUUCAUUUUAUUUUAUUAUCAAUAUUUUUAUUUUAUUAUUAUUAUUAUAUAUAUAUAUAUAUAUAUAUAUAUAUAUAUCUCUCUUCUCUCUCCUCUCUCUGCUCCCCAACCACCCCACCUCUCUCUCUUCCCAUUCUUCCCACCCCCAUUCCCAAGAUUUUCCCCCCAUUUUCCGCCCCUUCCCCCCACUCCACCUUCCUUUCCCCCCAUUUUUGUUUUUCUCCCUAUUUUGCCCCCCCCCCCCCACUCUGAUUUUUAUUUAUUUAUUUUUCACUUUUUGCCCGCAGCCGGCCAUUGAAGAGUUUUGACACUUUCCUUUCCCCCCAUUUUUGUUUUUCUNNNNNNNNNNNNNNNNNNNNNNNNNNNNNNNNNNNNNNNNNNNNNNNNNNNNNNNNNNNNNNNNNNNNNNNNNNNNNNNNNNNNNNNNNNNNNNNNNNNNUUUGCUUUGAGUAAAAAUUAAAAGUUUUAAAUUUAAAAUUUUCUUGAUAAAAAAUAACACCUUUUUUCAAAUUAGUUUGGUUUUUUCAAUUAACAUUUUUUCCUCAUUCGCAAUAAACUUCAUUUUUCAAUUCAAUUAUAUGAAAAUGAAAUUGAGAUAAUUUAAUUUACCUUUGUAAGUCAAUAAUUAUUGAAAAUCUUAAAAAUGAAUUUAAUUUAAUUUUUAAUGGCAAACCCCAUCCCCCCUGUUGAAAAAUUUAGAGGUUGAUAAAACGAAAGGGAAAAAAAAAAAAACCCCUCUAAAGUUAUUUCUUGUCCUCAGUUUCCCAUUGAAGGUUUUUGGGGGGGGGGAGGGGGGGGGCCAUUUUUUCUUCCCUUCCUCCUCCAGUCGACCUCCAUUUUUUUUUUUUUUCCUUUUUCUUCUUCCCCAAAAACACCCAACAUCCAGCUCCCCCAUUCCUCUUUCAUUUUAAUUUUUUAUUUUAUUAUUUUUAUUUCAGUUUAUUUUAUUUUAUUUUAUUUGUAAUUCCCAAAAAAACCAUCCACUACUAUCGGCAAGAUCACUGGCCAGACGCCGUCGGCCGGCGACCUCCUUCCGUUUCUCUCAUUACCUCACUUCCCGUAUCACUUUAUUAUUAUUAUUAUUAUUAUUAUUAUUAUUAUUAUUAUUAUUAUUAUUAUUGUUAUUGUUAUUAUUAUUAUUGUUAUUGUUGUUAUUUUAUUUUAUUUUAAUAGUAAUUGUUGUUUGUGAAAUUUGGAUUGUUGAAUUAAUAUGAAAUUUAUGAUUAAUUUAUUGUGAGUAGAUUAAUACAUAAUUUGAUUUAAUUUAUUGUUAGUGAAUUAAUUUGAAAUUUGUUAAUUUGGAUUUAUGGGCAUAUUGUAUUUGGUGAUUAAUUUAGGGAUAUUUGGAUUAUAUCAAUUGUAUAUUGUUUAUUUGGACUUGGAUCUAUUGUUAAGUUGUUAUUUGUUUGACCUUAUUGGAUUGGGCUUGGAAUAUUAUUUCUCUUGAUCGUGUAUUUUUUUUAUGUGGGCUUGUUAAUUAAUGUGAAUUUUGGGGCCCAUAAUGUGGGUGAGAUUUGUUGGAUUAUUUCAAUAUUUGAUAUGGGCUUAGCCAAUUUGAAUUGUUUAAUUUGGACAUGGGACAAUUGUGGUGUAUAUUAAACUAGGCUUAGAUUAUGAAAUAUUAAAUUUAGGUCUAGUAGAAUUUAUUUUAAUUUAUCCAAUUUUAGGUUUAGUUGAUUGUGUUUGUAUUUUUUGUUAUUAAUUUGGAUGUUCUAGGUUAAGACCUAUAGUAAUUUGGACUCAUUUUAAUUGACGAAAUUUAUGGGACUGAUUUGAAAUUGGAAUUUGGGUUUGAAUAUUUGUUUGAGGUUUUAUAUAUCUCUGGAUAUUUACAUCUGUGUUAUUCUUGUUUUUGCAUGGACCCACUCUGCAAUCUUGUUAGCUGAGUACGACUUGAUGACACGUAGAGCUUGUUGUAAGUUUAUUUGGGUAUAUAUUUUAUUUCCCACUUUUAUUUGGUUUUAUUUUUAUUAGGUCUUGUAAAUAUUUGUUUGUAUAUAUUUAUUGAGUGUGCGUAGAAUUGAACAUUGAACAAACUAAAAUUUUUUUUUAAAUGAGAGGACGAAGCCAGUAAAUUUGUUUUAAUAAAACAACAAUUUUAAAAUAUUAUUUUUAAUAAAAGAAAGUUUUUUUAUUAUUUAUAAAAAUUCAUAAAAAUGCAUUUAGAAAAAUCCAAAAAAAAUAUUUUUAAUAGAAUUUGAAAAAUUGUUUUUAAUGACAUUGUUCAAAAAUUUCUUUGUUUAAUAAAAAUUGUUUUGUAAAUAAAGUUGUUCCAAAAAUUAAUUUUUAGUAAAAUUGUCUAAAAAUAUUUUUUUAAAUGAAUUCUUUUUCCUUAAUUAAAGUGAGAUUAAAAGUGUUUUUUCAGGAAAUAGAGAAUUUAAAUCUUUGUUCUUCUUUUUAAUUAAAUUUUUUUUUUCAAAUAAAGUUAUGUCAUUUUAAAUAAUUUAUAAAAAUCACUCUUUUAAAUGAAAAUGAAUCUAAAAACUUUUGUAAAUAAAAUCGUAAAAAUUCAUUAUUUUCUAGUAAAAGUAAGUAAAAAUAAUUUUUGUCCUCAAAUUGAAAUUUUGUAAUAAAUUCUUUUGAUACAAUAAAUGUAAAUAACUUUUUUUUUUACAAUUGAAUACAAAUGAAAUUGAGAAAAUAAAUUGAUUCUUUUUUAUAAGUAAAUAAAUGGAAAUCAUUAAUUCAAAAUCAUUUGAAAUUUCUUUAAAACUUUUUUUAAUAUCUCUUAUUUAUUUAAUUCAAUCAAUCAUUUUGCAUAAUUAUCUCAUUAUUUAUUUUGUGUAUUUUUGUAAUUAGAUUUCAUCAUUGUUUUUGUGCAUAUUAAUUUUCACUAUGACUUGUAUAUUGAUUAUUUUUUCUUGGUAUCCAUAAUUAAUUAAUUAAUUGCCGCAAUUUUCUCAAUUCGUUUAGUAAAGGUCGUACGUAUACGGGAGAGGGAUGCUAUAGCUCACCACCGUACCUUCCCAAUGAGUAACCUAAUUCCCGGACCCAGACUCGAUUUUUACAGACCUGUUUUUUUCCUUCAGGAGUCACACUUAGGGUUUUUCUUUCUUAUUUUGUUUUUUCUUUUAAAAAUAAAACAAAAAUAAGUGGUGACUCUGAGUCUUUUUCUAAAAUCAAAUUUUCACCAAAUAAAAUAAAAAACGAGUUUCGUCAUCGAGUGGGAACACAUCAAGCAAAAUACGGGGUCCACACAUUAUUAAAAAUAAAUAGAUUUAAUAAUUAAUAAAACAUUCAUAAAAUUAAACAAAUUAAUAUUUUAAUAAUAUUAUUACUAAAAAGCGUUUCAAAUUCUUAAUUAAUACAAAUUCCUUUUUAUAAAGUAUAUUAUAUGAAAUAUUUCCUUGAUGGGAUAUUAAAUUUCCUUAUAGGACAAGGAAAGGUACUAAGAAUAUUUUUAUAAAUAUUGUAGUUAUGAGGGGAAAAAAAUUAUGGGAUGGGGAUGAGUUUGUAAAGAUCACACUAGGUGGAUAGAAAUGUGAAAAAAGAAUGAAAAACACUUAGUGAAAAUAAAUAAAUAAAUUAUUAUAUCAUCAUUUUUAUUUUUGUAUUAAUAUCAUAUAAAGAAAUAUAAUUCUAAUACUUCUUAUUUAUCAUAUUAGAUAAUUAAAAUAAAAAAUUUUAUUUUAUAAGAAAUUUAAUUUUAAUAUCAAUCAAUUAAAAAAGAGUUUGGUUUACUAUAACUCUCUUAAAUUAACUAAAAUACGCUUUUUUUUAGAAUUUUAAUUUUAUUAGGUAAAGGAAUUACUAAUAAAAAUUUGCAUUUAAAAGAAGACAUAUUUUAAUAUAAAAUUAUUUAAUAAUAAAAAUGAUAAAUAUAAAGUAAAAAAGUGAUACAAUUUUAAAAUUCACCUUCCCUAUUUUGUCUUACCAAAAUUUAUGUUUUGAAAGUCAUUACCAAAAUUUAUUUAUUUUUCUUAUUUAUAUAAUGAAGAUAAUAAUUUGAAAGGUAUUAAUUUAAAAGAACAAAGUAAUUUAAUAUGUUUUGAAAUAUCCUAAAAUCACACAAUUGAUUACAAUAAUUAAAAUUUUAUAAUAUUUAGUGAUGUAAUUGGUUAGUAAAUUGGUCAUUGGUUCAUAAUUUAUCUUUUCCUAUUUUAUAAAAUAAAGAUAUGAUAUUUGAAAAUUAAUAAUUUGAAAAAACAAAUAACUUAACAUAUUUCAAGACAUACCAAAACAGUAAAAUUGAUUACAAUAACAAAAUGUUGGUUAAUGAUUAGUAAUGUAAUUAAUAAAAACAAUUGGUAAUUAGGUAAUAAUUAUUGUUCCUAAUUAGAUGUCAUUGCUAAAAAAAUGUUAAAUCUUUUUAAGUUAAAUUUCAUUUAUUACUUAUUGAUUUUUGUUAAUAAAAUAUGUGUUCAAUUGUUGAAAUUAAUUUAUUAAUUUCUUGUUCUUAAUUUGAGGAAGAUAUCAAAAUCUUAUGAUUUUUAUUUAUUUAUAAUUAAUUGGAAUAGUUGAUUCUAGAACAUAUUUAUUACAUUAUGAAUUUGUGUUUUGAACUUGAAUCAAUGAUUAUUAGUUUAUUUUAUUUUUCUUAAUUGUAAAUGACUAAACUUUGAAAAAUUAUAGUAAAUAUAUUUUUAAUCCAAAUUUUAUGAUUUCAAUGUUAGUGAUUUUUUUUUUUUUUAGAAUGAAUUUACAAAAAUUUUAUGAAGCUUAAUUUCAUGAGAAGUUGAAUACUUACAAGACAAAAAUAUAUGUUUAUGUGGUUGAAUUUUAGUUCUAAUUUUGGAAUUUUAUGGACAUAUUUUUUUAUUCAUUUCUUAAUUUAAGACAAAGUUAAAGCAUCUCGUAUUUUCGAGAGUGUGGAAAACCAAACAUUAAUGUUUAAGUCAAACAAGCCUCAGCAAUUCUAUAGCCAAGAAAAUAAUUUCAUGGAGAGCAACCCAAGAGCUCAUGGAAAAUAAUUGUCUCAAUUCCUUAUUAUUUUUUAUCAUUAGGUGUGAAAUUCUCUCGCAAAAACCUUGUAGUUGCCUAGAUGCCACCUUGCUAAAAGCGUGUGGGGACCUUCUCUCAGCUCAAAAACAAGGAAAUAACACAUAGGGACGUGCAAUGGGGGAAAACUCAUCCAUGGUUAUUCCUUCACUCAUGCAUUUAUUUUCUAUGUUGGAUGUUUUCAAAAUUGGACCAGAGUUUAAUAGUCAAACCGAUGAUUGAAUUAUAAUGACGUUGGUGGCAUCAUAAAAAUAUAAUUUAUAUAUUAUUAAAAUUAAAAAUAAUUAUAAAAAUUAAAAAACGUAUAAAUAGUUAAAAAAUUUAAACACAUUUCAUCAUUUUAUUGUCAUUAAUAUUGAUAGCUUAAAUUAUGAUAAAAAUAAUAUAAAGAUUUAUUAAAUUAUUAUCAAUUUUAAUUUUAUUAAAUGUAUCAUUUUUAUUAUUUAAGUUUGUUUGAAUUUCAAUAGUUAUAUAUUUUACUAUCUUCAAAUUAUUAUUAUUUUUAUUUAAAUAUUAUUGAUAAAUCGUAAAACUUUAUAUUCAUUUUAAAUCUUGCAAUAAUGUGUACAUAGUUUUUCUUUAUUUAUUUUUGUUUCUGAAAAAACCAUAGGCUUAGCUUGGUGGCCUUUUUGAUAUUUCCAUUCCAAAUACCCUGGUUCAAAUCUCAUUGUUCAAUGGCUUUUUCCCCUGAAAGCCGAACAAGCCCAUAAGUUUGUCAUUAACAUAGAAAUGGGCUUGGGUGAUGGGUGUGGGCUUAAGCGCCCGAGUGGAGCACUUGGACUAUGGGCCAAUAGCUGAGUUUGGAAAUGAGAGUAGCUUCUAGAUCGGCCGUGCCGCGAGAAAUAAUUUUUUCUGGAAAUAAAUUAAUAAAUUAAGGAAAAAAAAAUUCAAAUCGGAAUGCAUUUGGGAUAAGAUUACUCAAUGGGACGGAUAUUAGUCACCCCAGCAAGCCCAAAAAAUUCAUCAACUCUUUACCAAGUAAGUUGAUACAAUUUCCACAUUUUUUUACUUAAUUGAUGGAUAUUCAUAUCAAAAAUAAAAUAACACAAAUUAAUUUAUUAGAUAAAUUAUAAUUUUCUUCAAUAUCAAUUUCACUAAAAUUAAUUUAUAGGAUAAAAUCAAUUUAAAGGACAAAAUUUUAUUUUUCUUCAUUACGAAUUCCACUAAAAUUAAUUUAUGGAAUAAAAUCAUUUUUUUUAAUGUCCAAUGAAUUUAUUAAUUAAAAUUGUGAUUUGCUAAUUUCAACUUUAUAAUAAUCGACUUAUGAAAAUAAACCCGAAUUUAUCCAAUAUUGCCUUCAUAAUAUGCAACUUACAUAUAAAAUUAUAAUUUUAUUCGCAUCGUUAGUAAUUAAUUUGCACAACCAAAUUCUAGUUUCAUUAAUGCAUAUCUUAUAGUAAUCAAUUUAUGAAAUAAAUUCUGAUAUUACCCACAUCAAUCUUAUACAAAUCCAAAAAAUCAUAUUCUAAUUCUGUCAAUACCAGCUUUAUAAGACUGAAUAUAGUAGCAUCCCCAUUUCUUCAAUGUGAAUUUCAUAAUGGUCCAUUCAUAGAAUAAAAUCUAGAUUCUAACAUCAUGAUUUUAUGAUCGAACACCAAUUGUAUAGUAAAUGAGUUGGUGAAAUAUGAUCUUAAUUUGAUUAAUAUUCAACUUUGUAAAAUCAACUUAUGACUUAAUUAUUGAUUCCAUUACGAUCAAUCUUAUAAGAAAUCAGUGUGUGGAAUUUUGUGACCUAAAUAUUGGUUUAAUUACAUCAAUUUGAAUUAACAUCUGAUUAAUUUUAUUAAUUCUAGAAAUUAUAGGUAUUAAAGUAAAUUACAAAUUAUAUAUGCAAGUACAUCAAAUUUCCAUUAAUUUCAUAUUUGCUUGCAUUUCUUCUUCGGCCUUAAUGUGUUAAGUUCUUGUUAUUGCUUUCUUCCAAGUGGUUGUAAGCAUGAGAGCUUGUACUACAUUGAUGCUAAAACAUGCUUCUCAUGCAAUAUAGUGGAAACAAGAACAUGGUAGAAAGUACAAGAAACCUAUUUAGAUGUGUUUUCCAUCAUGCCAAAAUAUUAAAAGUAUUAUCAUUGCCCAAAACAAGGGAAGGAGUUUUAGGAUAAUAUUGUAAUUUCAAAAACGAAUUACAACUUGAUUUCCUCUUUUUUGACGAAAUCCCAAGAAGGAAGCUUACUUUUAAAGGAAGAUGAUUGAGAUUAAGAAAUUUGUGCAAAAGAAAUGUUGGUCCAAUAUUUAGAACUAUAUUAUAAAAAUUGUUAUAAACAUUUAUGGUAAUUUGUAAAAAAUAACAGUAUUACCAUGUUCGUACUAUUAUCAUAUGGGUAUAACCGAAAACGAAGAACUAACUUAUUCUCUCCUCUUUGUUCUCAAUUAAAUUUUACAUUUAAUUUAUAACACAUUACCAACACAUCAUUUUGACAAUAAAAAGAGAAGAUAAUUCAUUCACAAGAGUUCUUGCUUACCGAAAAUACAAGAAAAAAAUUCAUCCAUAAGAGUUUUUGCUUGCUUGAACACUAAACCAUUUUUAUAAAGAUAUAUGGUCAUAUUUUCUUCAAACACUUUGAUUUCAAAACAUAUAUUAAAAGUGAUAUUUCUUCCUGUUAGGAAUUUGAGGUUAAUCCAAAUUAUGGUAAUCACCCUAGAGGGGGGGGGGUAAAUAGGGUGAUGGUCUCUUUUUCACAAAUUUAAACUAUGCAAAAAUAAGAGACAAUUAUAUGCAAAUAUAUAAUAAACAAAAUAAACACAAUUGCAUAUAAUUUAAAAGAGUUAGGGAAGAGAGAGUGCAAACACGAGAGUUUAUAGUGGUUCGACACUUCCUUGCCUACGUCCACUCUCCUCAACCUCAUAACCGAGUGAGGGUUCCACUAUCUUGAAGCUUCAACCAAGCUUCCAAUCUCUUUACAAUUGAAUUAUGGUUCCAAUUCACCCUCUUGAACUUUUGGCUCCAAGCACCCUUUACACUUCUUCAAGAAAUAUCCUUCUCUUGAACAACCUCUCAAGUGAUACCCCUUACUUGAGAAAAUUCCUCACAAAGAUAUACAAAUAAUGAUCUCUCAAAAUCCUAGUAAUAGAACUUUAGGUUCAAAGAUACAAGAAAAACUAGGAUUGAAUGGUGUACUAAAGAUAUGCAAGUUAUGAAACAAUGGUGCACUCAAAAAACACUCUUCCAAGGCUCAAAUAUAAUCAAGAAUGAUUUGGGAAGGUUAAACUUAUGAAACAAUGAAGAUUGGAGCCUUUUUAUAGAAGAAAAAAGCCAAACUAGCCAUUGGGGGUUCGACCGGUCGAGCUAGGAGUCAACCGGUUGACUAGCCGUUAGGGAAAGUGACUGUUGGGCCUCAACCGGACCUCAAUAGGUUGAGGUUCAACCUUGAUCGGGAAGAGAAGGCCACUGGGAAAGAGAGAAACUUUUUGGCCUCCCUCAACCGGUCCUCGAUCGGACAAGCACAACCGGUUGAACUGGUUGAACCAUUUUUUUGGCUCAACACUCAACCUUUUUCAACUUAAAACCUUUUAACACAAGUUUGAAAAUCAUUUAACACAAGGUUUUAGUUGAAAACAUGAAAUCAUCCAAUUCUUAAGAUAUUUAAAACAAUAUUACUCUUGGAUGAUUUUGGUGCAUAAAUAAAGAAUGAAAUGCAUGAAAGUCCUAGUGCGCCAACAACCUUACAAAGAGAUCCUAAGAAGCUUUGGUCUUGAAAAACUCUUCUCUUUGAGGUGGUCUUCUUCUUCAUGAUUUCUCCUUGGCUUGAUUUGUCUUUGGAUUGCCACUUUGGAAGUCGUCUUGCCUAAUCACACUUCAAAUAUGAUCAUUAGUUCUAAACCUUGUUUUGUUAUCAUCAAAAUCAAGAUUAACCAAACCUUGAUUUCACACUUCCUAUUUUGGUUUUAUUAUUAUAAUUUUUAUUUACUUAAUCUCAUAACUAAAAACUAUGAAGAUAAUUUAUAUUCAUAAUUAUCUUAUAGUAAGACGUUAUGUAGACAAUUUCUAAUUAUCUUGUAUAAACAUAAAUUAUACAAAAAAAAUUAGCAAUUAGCAAUUAGCAAUUCUUUAACAAGAGUUAUAUAGACAAUUUCUAAUUAUAGUGUACAAAUAGAAGGUAUAUAACAAUAAAAAAAAAUUAUUUUUCUAUAAUUAUUAUAAUUUAUUAAUUGUUUUAUAUUACGACAUCACUCAAAUUCUAAUUACUUAUAACUUGAAGUUAAGCAUAAAAAGCUAGUAAAUUAAUAGAUGUGAAAACUCAUAUAGCCAAAAGCUAUAUAAAUUUUUUUAUAUUAUAAACUAAUAUUAUCAUAUAUCGUUACAAGUUAUAUUAUUAUUAUUAUUAUAAGAAAAUUAACAUUCUUUGUACAAUCAAGAGGCUAUGUUUGUAGGAAUGACCUUAAAAGAUCAUUCCAAGCCCAAGAUCAAUAGGGUGUUUACAAAUCUAUCCUAGGGAUCUUUAGAUCUAUGCAACGAAAGUAUAUAUUAAAUAAAAAUUAUAGAUCUAAGUGCUCAGAAUACUAUACCUACGAUCCGGAUGUUCUCAAAUUGAUUUGAAUAAGUGAAAAUAUGAUGUGGAUCUUGGAAACUAUGAGAUCUUUUGCCCAAUAACACUCUUUUUUAGAUCCUAGCAUGUGAGGAUGGUGGAAUCCUCUUUAAUCGGGUGGAGACUAAAGUUCAUCUCUCUGAAAGAUUGAAUAGCAAGACUGCAAACCCUAAAUCCUUGAGGAGGUUUAUAUAGGUUUACCUAUAAGUAUAAGUAACUUAAACACAUUGUUAGGCUUGGAUCACUUAAACUAGCCUAUUAGGUCCUAAUUAAUUAAUUAGUCUUAUUGUGUUCCAAUUGAUUAAUUAUCUUAAUCUAGAGACAUGCACCAUUCAUAAUCUCUUGCAUACUCUUGCAUAUUUACCAAAAUUCCUUAAUUUAUGCACACAAAUGAAUAAAGAACCUAAAUAUAUCUUAAGUAAUAUGUCAUUGAGGAAUAUUACUUCAAGUAAGAAUCAUUGGGACCUAUAGAAAAGUAUUGGCUCCCUUAUGAUGUAAUUUUGAAGUUGACUCAACAUUCCACUAAAAAGAGUUAACUGCAUUCUAGUAUCUUAUAAUAUUAGCUCGAGAUAGAAUACUUGGGUUCAUAACCUUCUAACGAUUGCAUGCAAGCUUCCCAUGAACCAAUGUUUAUAAUUUAACAAGGUGAAUGUUAUCACUCUCUUAAAAUUACUUUUACAGUAUUUUAGUCUCAAAUCCUCUUAUUAUAUAAUCAAUUGACACAUUCUAACUCUUUAAGCACAUAUAUCAAAUUCCAUUUAACUAAUUAUUAUAGUCAUAGAUUCGUACUUCUAACUUUCAUCCAUCCUUUCAACACACUUCUAUGACACUCAUACCAUAGGGCCUCUACUAUCAGUCUACUAUUAAACUUCUUGAGAUGUCUCAUAUCCUACGAUUUAUGGAUCAUUUCAUCAAGACCAACAUAUAUCCUUUUAACCAACAUAAUAAGAGUUCUAAAGCGACUCAACAGGAUUGUACCACGUGUAUAUGAGGCAACUGGUAAAGCCUAACUUGGCUGGUUCUAGAUGUCAUCUAUUAUUUUCUAAGGGAAGUGAAAGAGAAGUUGUUAGCUUUAGCAUGUUUAAAGAUACAACACCAACUCCAUGGUAACCAACUCAAGUGCACUGUAUUCAAGAUCACCGACACAACAGUUACACAGUUGGCAUGACUAUUAGCGCAGUUAGCUAGGUAGUUUUCCCUUGUUAUAACAAACUCUAAUAGUUGUUAAGAACCUACUGCUACUUAAGGAAGUCACCACCUGUAUUGUAAACUUAAAUGAACCAAUAAUGAGAAAUAGCUAAUAUUUUCUUUCAUUCAUUUUCUUUUGCCUUUUAACACAACACGACAAUAUCUCAUUUCAUUAUCUAAAUUGUUCUCUUAGUAUCCAUUGCAUUAAGGCUACCAAUUACCUAAUUUCGAUUGAUGACUUGCACACUAUUGUCUACUCUAUUGAUUACUGAAAUAUUGUAUUAGUUCACUCUGAGUCUUAGCUAGCUACUCUUGGCACUCGUAGGAAUAGGGUUCUGCAUAUUUUUUCCUUUUCAUUUGAUGUCGAAAGCAAUCCUCCUACCCCAAUUGCCCUUAUGCCCACUGCACAUGCAAGUACUUCACCUAUUUUGUCUGCUCCAUCUCAGACUAUCUCUACUACUCCUACCCCUCUAUCAUUAACACCUAUUCACAACAUUCUUAGACUUUCUCAGCCUCAGGUUGAUGAUCAUACUCCAAGUUUACUACAAGUUAUGACCUAUUUGGCCAUGCUUUAAGACCUCUUUAUGAGCAUGGACUCUUGUAUUGAUUUCAAGCUCAGUUGCAUGGAGACCUGCAUGUGGGCGAUUUGACUUUUGUCAUUCAACAACUUAGUUUUUUGGCUAGAGUCCUCAAAUUGAGAGAUGGUUUGGUACCACCAGCUUAUGGAAACCUAGAGGUAGAUGGUGGUACUAUGGUUUGCCUCCAUUUUUUAUACCAAAGUUGAGGGAGCAAUGCCUGUAGCCACACCCAUCCUACAACUCGGGUGCAUUAGGAGUUGCACUGAAAAUCCAAGUCAUGGGUUCCUUCCAAGUUAAAAAAUUGUUCAUAGCUAGUUCAUAGACUUAGAAAACCUAUUUAAGGUUGUAGUGUACAACCUCUUAAUUGGAGGGAUGAUUUGUCUUGGUCAUUAUGAUGAGUUUCUCACGGUAAGUGCAUUGUGUGCAUGGUUAUACAUUGGACGAGGCCUAUAAUGAAUCAUGACAUUUACUAUUAGGGAGUCAUGAUUUACCAAACUACUAUGUUGACCUUGAGAAAAUAUCGAGAUAAUACUGAGAUCUUUAGUGGCUUUGGCUUAUAAGUGAGACCCUAAGGUGGUCAUAUAUUCCCUAUAGAUUGAUCACUAUUGAUUAAAGCAAGUGACAAUAGGCAUUUUCAAAAUAGGCACCAUAAUAUCUUAUGGGAUUAGGACAAUGUGUCCCCUUGGGUGAUUAUAAGUGAAUAUGAAAUCUAUGGCGUUGUAGGAAUCCUUUUAGUGGAAUUUGACAUAUGCUUUAUGUUAGUUAGAGUAUGUCAAGUGAUCAUAUAAUAAGACAAUUUGAAACUCAAUGAUUGUAGAUGAAAUCUUGAGAGGUUGAUAGCAUUUAUCUUGUUAGAUAAUGGACACUAGUCCAUGGAGAGUCUAGAUGCAUGUGAUAGUAUGUCAUGGACCAAAAGAAUGAUUAGAUUGAAUUUGAUCAAUUUUUAUCUUGAUAACAUAGGAUACUGGAGUGAAAUUAACUUUCUUUAAUGGAUUAUUGAGUUACCUUCGGAACUGGAUUAUAAGGGAGUCAAUAUCUUGAUAUAAUAACAUAUGAUACUAGAGUGCAGUUGACUCUUUUUAGUAGAUUAUUAAGCCAACUUUCAAAACUAGAUUAUGAGGAAGCCAAUAUUUUCUUAUGGGUACUAAUGAUCCUUACUCAAACUCACAGUCUUUGUUGACACAAAGGUUUAAGGGAAAUUGGAGAUUUAAUCAUAUGCUUGCAUAAUGACAUUUAGGUAAAAGAACAUGAUUACAUAUGAAGUUAUGAUGAAUGUUUUCAAAAUCGGAUGGGUCAUUAAACCGAAAAAAGUUGUCAAUUGACGGUUCACUGGUCGAACCAAAGAUUGAAUCGCAAUCAAACUAGUAAUGUAAUAAAUAUAUAAUUUAUAUACUAUUAAAAUUAAAAAUAAAUUAUAAAAUUUUAAUCCAUAUAUAUAUAUAUAUAUAUAUAAAAUUAAAAUUUUAAUAAUAUUUCCUUUUUUAUAUUUGAUAUGUCAAAUUAAAUGGUAAUGAUAAAUAUAAAUGUACUAAUAUAAUAAAUUUUAUUAAAUAGAACAUGUAUAAUAUUUAACCAUGAAAAUAUAAUUAAGAUGAAAAGAAAAUUUUAAUAUUUAAUUUUAUCUCUAUCUAUUUUAUUAUUUUAAAAUUUUAGAAAUUAUUGUAUUGCUUUUAUACUUAUCAUUAUAUAGUUGUUAUAAAAAUAAUUGUGAAUAUAAAUAUUUAUAUUUUUAAAUAGACUUAAAUGAUAAAAAUUUGAUAAAAAAAUCAAUAUUUUAUUUUAUUGAAACAUUUAUUAAGUUGGUUGCAUAGCCUAGUGGUCCAAGUAUUGGCCUUUUUAAUCCAAGAUCCUAUGGUUCAAGCUUUCUUAAACAUUAUAAGUAAUCUCACAUUGGAAGUUUACAAAUUAUAUUUCAUGUAUAAAAACCUUGCUUAUUCUUGGAGCUUCAAACAUAUUGUUAGGCUAGAGUAUGUUAUGGGGCUGCAGUCAAAGCUCAUUAGGCCAUAAAUGAAAGGGGUUCACAUUAUGAUUUUGGUCAAAAUAUUAGUAUUGAUUGGUUCAAGGGAAAUGGGACAGUUUGUUUGGUUCGACAAUCAAACCAUCGGUUUGGAUGAUUCAAGACCAAUCUAACAUAGCAAUAAUUCAUUCCAGUCAACUAGACCGAAGAGCUGUUGAUUGACGAUUUGACCAAUUUAAUUAAUUGAUAUGAUUUGACUUUUAAUCAAAGGAGUCAUUGAGCCAAAGAUUGUGAGGUUUUGAGAAAUCUUUUAUAAAAAAGGAUUUGAGUUUGAGAAUAUCCAAACCCAAGAAUGGUUUUUAUUUGUUAUUGGGUCCUCUUAAACAUGCAUCAUGUUGGUAUAAUGACUCAAAUAAAUAUAAAAUAAAAUAAAAAUUUUAUUUUAUAGACUCGAUAAUUUUCACUUGUGAGAGCCGAAACAAUAGAAUAAAUAUAAAAUAAAAAUUAGAAGAUAGUUUAGGUGACCUUUACAUACAUUUUUUGCAAAACUUCUAUAGAAAAAAAUCAUGAUUUAACCCAUGCUCUCCAAAGCUACUAUUAAAAUUUUAAAAUUUUGAAAUAAUUUAUAUAUAUUAAAUUUUUUUUUUAACUUCUAUAAAAGAAAAAAACAUAGAAAUUGACCUUAUGUUCUAAAACAGUAGUGUAGACCCCUUUUGGUGAAGGUCCGGGAGAGGGUUGUUGGCUUUUUAUGCCGAGAAAACAGCCGCAUGGAUAGGUGGCCCAGGGCAUGGCUGGCCAUGCGAGUGGUUGAAGGAGGCCAUGCUGGCUGACCGAGAAACAGGGGAGUGGGUAUAGCUGAGACAUGAGGUUUUCAGAGAAGCAAGGUGGAGAAGGAAAGGGGAAGGCCAGGCUGCAGGCGGAAGGUUGAGAGCUUCAGGGGGUUUUCCAGGAAGCAAAACACCCAGAGAGAGGGCAAAGAGCUCGGAGAAGGAGAAAGGAGAGGUAUGAAUACCAUGGGUCCCUGGAUUUACUUUAUCGAUAUAUAGUCUCAUUUCUUUUUCUCAAUAGUUUAUGUGGAUUGCUUGAUUAUAUGCUCAGUUUCACGGAUCAUGUGUGAGCUAUGGUUUAUUUGUUAAUAUCUCCUUCACUUCUUUGGGUUGCUUUGAGAGUAAUGCAGCUCUGUUCUAACUUUACCAUGCAUCGUGUAGGAGUCUUGUUUUGUUUUCAUUUCUAUGAGAUGCACUCUAGUUUACUCACCUACAGCUAAACUUGUUGAUUAAAACACGAAGCAUGACUUGGGUUGCUUUAUUUAGCUUCGUUAGUUUGUGCUCUGUUUUGUUUCGUCAUUCCCCUGUUCCUGCUUCUGGUACUGGGUUGGCUGCUGUAUGAAGUAGCAAUAUAGCGGAAGAGGAUGGUUUUGACGAGGGGUUUCCUGAGAUGGAGAAUUUUCAGCACAUUAUAGACUCGAAGUCUUGUGAAAGAGUCUGAGAACCGUGAACGCAGAAUUGUCAUUUGAAAGAAACGAUUUACUGUGUCUGAUUGAUAUAUGGGAAGGAAGAAGAGUUUUUAGGUUCUCGUGGACAAAUUCUUAAAGAAGAGUUUGGGAAGAGGCGACUGUGAUUGAGCACACUGAUGUUGCAUUGCUCUGAGACAAUGAGAUCAUCUAUGAUAUCUGCCAUGGUCCGCUGAACAUGAAGAUACCCAUUUAUACCAACCUAAACAUGCUUGGUGCUCAGAUAUUUUUUUUUUAUCAAACUGCAUCUCUCUGUUUCGAUGGAGCCUUCACUGUAGUUUUCUGUGACAGAGAUCACUAGCAGGGCCUUUGAGCCUCUGUCUGUAAUGGCCAAAUGUGACCUACGCCCGGGAGAAUGCGUGUUUGCUGUUUGGUGAAAUAAAAAUGAUGCAGUGAAGUGCAUGCUGCCAAAGCCGCCAUCUCCAUCACUUUUUGCAUGGCCAUGCAUGGCCCACAAGUUUUUUUUUUUACAAAAACCACCCUGCAUACCCAUUAUCCUAUAUACCUUUCUACCUCUUAAUACCCAUUGAAUCUACUCCUCACCAACCUCCAUUACCCAUACUCAUCACCUAACCUAGAUACCCAUAUCUCACCCCCUCAUGCGUUUCCAUUAUCCCCAUUACCCAUACUCAUCACCUAACCUAGAUACCCAUAUCUCACCCCCUUAUGCAUUUCCAUUAUUCCCAUUACCUGGCACGCCCAUAUUCUUCUCAUAAUGCAUCUAAUAAACCCAUUUUUUCUAAUCCCAUUUCUAUUACCUACCUCUCCUAUCAUUUUCCCAUCUUUCUAAUCAUUGAACUCAUAAAUCUCACUUCCCCUCACCACUUUCUAUCACCCUCAAUGGUUCUUACCAUACCCAUAUACCCACCGAACCCUAUGCAUGGCCACCCUCAUUUCUCUCACAUCUCCACUCAUGAUCAUACACAUUUUCUUCAUCAAUUUCAUCCACUACAAGCAACCAAUUCCCUCACCAUGCUCCAUUUCUUUUUAUUCGCAUGCUCAUCUUCAUACUCACUUCUCUCUCUAAACCACCACAUGUCCAUCACCACCUUCUCUCUCUCUCUCUACACCACGUGCCUUUCAAACCUAUUUUUUUCACGCAUUAAACCCAUAUCUUUCAUCUUUGCAUGGCCAUGCAUGGCCACUCCAAACUCCAUACCCGUUUGCCAAUCCUCACGCAUGCAUGGCCACUCCUACCUCCAUACCCGUUUACCAAUCCUUCAUUCUCACCGUUUCCAUCAUUCCCAUGCAAACAGUGCAUCAUGCACAUGGCCACUCAUGUCACGUUCAAUUUCUCUCCACCCUUAUACCCAUCUUAGCGUGCCCACUUCUCUCACUCACCAUCUUUCCAUUCCUUCCAAACUCACAAAACCCUCUCAUCUUGCUACCCUUCAUCCUUCGUUCCAUCAAUAACCACCCGAAGACCAAGAAGAUGCUGCAGUUCCUACGCUUGAGACAAAUAUUUAAUGGCGUCUUUUCGAAAGUGAACAAGACAACAAUGAAUAUGCUGCACGGGUUGUCCCCUACGUGACAUGCGGAUAUCCUAUUUUAAAGAGUGCCUAGGAAUUGAUUUGCAAGCCGGAGUGCAUAUCCGCUACAACGAAGUGUCAUAUCUCUCUCUUGGUGUUCAAGUUGUGAAAGGAGGUACCGAGAACGUUGAGCCUUCUUAGUGAUCCCAUGCGUGAUGGGUGCUCCAUUGUCGGUGAGGGUGGAGCCACAGAAGCACAUUGGUUUCGCUAACACAUGUCCCUUUGGUGGUGGUCGCCCUGGGAGAGUGAAGAGAAAGGACUUGAAGGCGGCUGCCAAGAAGGCUGCUGGUGGAGAUGAUGAUGCCCGGUGGAGAGGAGGGUCGUGAUGGAGAUUGAGGUUUUGGGCUCGCCCAUGAUGACGAAUAUGGGCUUGAGUUGGAGCCCAGGCCCAAGUUUGUUGAUGGAGGGCCUCAUGCCCCUCAUUCCCAUCACCCUUAUGACCCAUACCCAUAUUGAGUCAGCCCAUUUGGCUACUUCAAUUCUAAGUAAUUGUCAAGCUUCUCAUUUUCAUAAUUUAUUUUUUUUUUAAUUUUUUUUAUUUAUUUUGUUUUAUCUUAUUUUACUUUCACAUAUUUUUAACUCAAUUUAAACUCAACUAAAAGACAAAUUAUUAGGAUUGAAUAUCAUUUUCGAAACUUAAAAUAAUUUAUAUUUUAUCUUCUCUUCUUUAGUUAUGUCUAAUCAUCGUAUAUGGAAAUUUUUUUUAUAAUUAGAUUAUGUUGGUCCCAAUGAAUUUUCUAGAUUCCAAAUUUUAAAUCUUAUUUUCAAAACUUAUGUCUUUAAGCAAUUUUUCAAAGGUCCGACUCUCAAAUUUAAUUUACAAUCUCAAAAACCCCACCAUUCACUUUCAUUCGUUUAAAUAUCGUUUUGAUUAAUCAUUAAUGUUAUUCCAUAUUUAUCUAUUUAUCUUUUUUUAAAAUCUCAAUCAUUAAAGUCUAAUUCUUCAAAAAUCCGACUUUCAAAUUUAAUUUUCAAUCUCACAAAUCCCAUUAUUCACUUUCAUCCGUUUAAAUAUCAUUUUUGAUUAAUUAGUAACGUUAUUCCAUAUUUAUCUGUUUAUUUCUUUUAAAAAAAUCUCAAUCAUUGAAGUUCAAUCUUUCAAAGGUCCGACUUGCAAAUUUAAUUUUCGAUCUCAAAAGUCCCAUUAUUCGCUUUCGUUCUUUUAAAUAUCAUUUUUGAUUAAUUAUUAACAUUAUUCCAUAUUUAUCUGUUUAUCGCUUUUAAAAAUCACAAUCGUCAAAGUCCUAUUAUUCAAAAAUCCGACUUCCGAAUUUAAUUUUCAAUCUAAAAAAUCUUACUAUUCACGUUCACUCGUUUAAACAUUAUUUUUGUUGUUAUUAUUGCUAUUCCAUAUUUACUAGUCUAUUUCUUUUAAAAAUUCCCAUCAUCAAAGUUCAAUUCUUCAAAAAUUUGUUUUCCGAAUUUAAUUUUCAAUCUAAAAAAUUUCACUAUUCACGUUCAUUCGUUUAAGUAUUAUUUUUGUCAUUACUUCCAAAUCUAAUUCUCUAUCUCAAAAAUUCCACUAUUCACAUUUACUUGUUUAACGAUUAUUAUUGCUAUUAUUAUUAUUCCAUUCACUUAAUCAUUUACUUAAAAUUCCGCCUUUAAAUAAUUCUUUAAAAUUUCGAUUUCUAAAUUUAGUUCUCUGAAAUUCUAAUUUUCUAAUUUCUGAACUUAAUUUUCAGUUUCCAAUACUCCAAUUCUUGCAUUUAUUCUGUUACUUAUUUAUUAUCAUUAUUAUUAUUAUCAUUUUAUUUAUUUAUUUCUAAAAAUUCUACCUUCGAAUUAUUUCCAAAAUUUUCAAUUUCUAUAAUUCAAUUUUCAUAACUUCUACUUCUCAAAUAAUUUUCAAUCUUGGUUUCCUUCAAAAUUUAAUUUCCAAGGUCCCAAUUUUCGUAACUUAAUUUUUUUUUUUAAAAUCCCGAACUCUUAAAUAAUUUUCAAGAUUCCAAUCUCUUUCAAAUUUAAUUUCUAAAAUUCUCAUUCUUACAUUUAAUUUCUAAAAAUCCAAUUUUCAAAUAAUCUCUAAGACUCCAAUUUUCAAAUAAAUUUCAAAAAUCCAGUUUUCCCUCGAACAGUUUCAAUUUCUAUUUGGUGAUGUAUGUGAUAUGUUUUGUGCUCUUUAUUGUACACUGACCCCAUUUUUAUGAUUGCGCGUUGCUCGUUCGUGGCCCAAUUGCGCAUCCACUCUCUUUGUGGUCAUUCACUAUGCAUGUUUUGGUUCCCAUAUGUGCAUAAUCGAUUUGAGCAUCCCUUGAUUUUCCCAUUGAUUGUCACGUCAACUUCAUUUUAUUAGUAGAGACCCGACUUCAGGGACUUAGAGGAGUACUACGGUCUUUACCAUACCUUCCUGAUAAGUAACCUGACCCCGAUCACGAUCCGGUUUUUCAUAGACCACAUUUUCCAAAAUAAAGAGUCACAUUUAGGGUUUUCUUUCUUAUUUUGUUUACCCUCUUAAAAGUAAAACAAAAAUAAGUGGCGACUCCAAGUCAUUUUCUAAUAAAUAAAAUCAAAUUUUCAAAUAAAAUCGAGUUUGCCAUCGAGUGGAAACGCAUGAGCCGAAAUGCGGGAUCCACAAGUAGUUACCAAAAUUUUUAAAAUUUGAGAUGGUAAAUUUUUUUUCAAUACCUAUAUAUUUUUCUAAACUUUUUUUGAAAAUCAUUGUCUUGUUAAAGUAUGCAUCUUUUAGUGGCUAUUUUCUAUUUUCUAAAAAUAAAAAACAAAAAGGUCUUCGAAUACCACCAUCGAUUUUACAUUCAAUUUUUUAAGUCACUAAUAUUUAUAGAAAUUAUUAAAAUAUUGUUUUUUUUUUCCAAGAACAAGAAUUUAACUUGAGUGCAUUAAUAUUUUCAUUUUGUAAUAACUUUCACAAAUUAUGGAUUCGGAACAACAAAUUAGGAAAAAUUAAAAGAUGUUUUAAGUAUUUUUUGCAAGAUAUUUGAGAAAAAACUUUAAAAUAAAAAAGUAUAUAUAUUACUAAACCAAAGUGUCAAAGAAAGAGAGACUUUCUCAUGAAAAUUGUUUUCUUUACAUAAUUAUCAGAAAAAUAACUAAAUUUUUGUAUUAAAAUUAGGAAACCAAUGUUUAUUUUCUUAGUUUCAAAUGAAUUUGUUUUCUUCUUUUGAGACAUUAAGUGAGAUUACUUGUAUAAGUCCAAUAGUUAUUUAGUAACAAAAAUAAAAAUAAUUUUGUCUUUAGACCAUAGUUUGCAGGACUAUAUAUAUAUAUAUACACAUAGAGGUGAGUUGGGAGUGGUGUAAUUAAAUUUCCAAGGUCAUGUUUUGUUCAGAAGAUUAUUAAAAAAAAAUUGGAAGAAAAUCACAUUUAAUUUUGUUGUGAAAGAAAGAAAUAAAAUAAAAUAUAAUUAAAAUUAUAAAAAUGUGUACAUUUUAAAAUCAUUUGACUUUUAUAAAAACAAAAAACAAAUUAAAAUAAUAUACAAAAAUAAUUUAUUGAUUUUAAACUUAUUUUUUAAUUUUUUUUUUCAUUUUCUCUCUUUUUUCGAUUUUUUUUUCUCUGUUUUCUUUUUCUAACACUUUUCCUCAGAUUUUUAGAAACUAAAUCUAACCUUAAAAAAUAAAAAAUAAAAAAUAAAAUAGUAUAUGCACAGGAUGAGAUUUUACACUGACGUUUCAAGUCAUCAAACCAUAGUCUGCAUUAAACCUAGGCUUAGGGCUGAGUUUAAGCUAAGAGUUAAAUUCCAAGUAUGGGCCAAGCCUAAUGACUUUUCUUAUUUGGGAUAAUUGUUGAGCAUGGAGUGGGCACAUCAACUAUCCCAUCACAAACUAAAUUGUGUCCCACUAAAUUAUUUUAUCGAGGGAAACAUUUAAAAAAUAAAAUUUAUUCAUCCUAAAUGAAACUAUGAACAUGUUUGUAAUUGUAUUGUUUUUUGUUUUAAGUAUUCAUACUUUAUCUAAAAAACUUUUCAAAAAUAUAUAAAAAUAGGAAAAACAAAUCAAUCUCCUGUCAAAAUCUUGGAAUAAAAUUGCUCUUCAAUGACAAAAAAAAUAUCCUAAGGGAAUUUAAAACUAGGCUCAAAAUUAAUGUAAAGAUAAAAUUGGAACAAAUUUUGGGGUCUACACUUAUGUUUAAGAAUAUCUUAGGUAUAAAUGAGUAGAAAUGUGUUUUCUUUUAUCCAUCCUAAAGGGAAUAUACAUGGUCUUGGUAGAUAGAUCAUUGUAAGAAAUAAUCUAAAAAAGAAAAGAAAUUCUUGAGUGAAUCUAACUGAAUAAGUACCCUUUUGUUUGGCCAUGAGGGAAAGGGUGAGAGAGAGCCUUCUAUUUUGUGCAAAAGAGAGAAACAAAGGUUCAAUAUCAUUGACUAGUAAAGCAUUUGUGGAUUCUUUUCUUGUGGAUAUAGGUGAUUUUCAUCAAACCACGAAGCAUCUUGGUGUUGUGAUUGUACUUUAUUUUUUGUUGUAUUUAAGUUCUUGGGCUUAUUUAAUUGAUCUUGUCGAUGUAAAAUCCCCUUAACAAACUGUUAUGAGAGCCUGUAGAUGGAUUUAACAAAGGUUGAUAUUCAAUCAGAAGAAUGAUUUGGCACUAUGGAGAAUGGAGAUGAUAGCAUCACUAGUUAAGAGGCCUUCAAGAAAUUCCUAAGGGUAAACUUACCAAGUUCUUUUAUCCUUUGAGGACAAGACCAAGAUCCCUGAUAAAACACACAAUGUUGUUUUUUUGAGUCUUAGUGAUAAGAUGUUAUGUGAAGUCUUAAAGGAGUCAACUAUAGCUUUGAUAUGGUUGAAAUUGAAGCAUCUGCUCGUGGCAAAAUCUUUGACAAAUAGACUAUACUAAAAGUAGAAAAUGACAUAACAGGUUGAAGACUGUAUUGACAACUUCAAUAAUAUCAAAUUAGAUCUUGAAAAUAGUAAAGUGAAGAUUGAAGAUAAAGACCAAGCAAUAAUCCUCUCAAAUUCAUUGUCUGAGUUAUAUAAGCACUUUGUAGACACCAUGAUCUAUGGUAGAGGGUAUUUAUUUAUGCAAGAAGUAUAGGAUGCCCUAAAUUCUAAGGAGUUGAAGAAGAAAUGUUAUAAGAAUAAAGAAGAUGACUCAGGGGUGAGGGGCACAUAGUGAGAUGGUGAUCUUGUAAGAAACUUUUUUAGGAUAUAUAUAGACCAAGGUCAAGGUUGAAAUAUAAGUACAUAAUGUUUUCUCUAUCAUAAAGAAUGCCAUGUAAAGAAAUAUUAACUAAAAAGAUAACUUCAAGGACCCUAAAGAUAUUGGCACUACAUCAAAGGGGUAUGAAAGCAUUAAGGUAUUAUCCAUUUCAAAAUCUAUUGAAAAUAAUUAAAUGAAUUAUUGAUUUUGGUCACACUUCUCACAUGUUUCCAAAUCAAUCUUGAUUUUCUUCUAUUAAAUGAUUGAUGGGGACUAAGUGUUGCUAGGAAACAAUAAGGCAUGUCACGUGAUUGGAGUAGGAGUUACAAAAAUCAAGAUAGCAGAUUGGGUUGAAAGCAUAUUGUAGGUGUGAGACAUAUACUUGAAUUGAAGAGUAAUCUAAUUUCACUGAGAAUGUUGGACAAAAGUGUAAAAGAGAAGAUGGAGACUUGAAGGUAAUUAAAGGAUCACUAGUAGUGAUGUAAGAUUUCAAAAGAAUAAUUUGUAUAUGCUACAGGUGGAUGUUUUGAAUUAUGAGGGUACUACAACUUCAAGGAAUAUAUAUUCUAGACAAAGUAAAGUUUUUGACACAUUUACUUAUAUAUUAGUGAAAGGAGUGGUCUAAAUUAAGUAAACAAAAUCUUCUUUGGGGAGAUAAUAUGAAUAAGUUGGAAUUUUCGGAAGAUUGCAUUUAUGGUGACAUUUGAAGAAUUAAAUUCAAUAUAGCAAAUCAGAGGACAAAGGAAACUCUCGAUUAUGUUCAUUUAAAUCUUUUGGGCCAACAAGGAUUGAUUCUUUGAGUGAUUAGAUAUACCUUACAUUGAUUGAUGAUUAUCAAAGAAGAGUAUAGGUGUAUAUAAAAUCUAAAUGCAACAACUGUAUAGAGGGCUCUAUAGAAAAGAAAGGAGAACCAUGGAUCCAUGCUUAUCAUAGUAUGGCUUAAAGUAGUUUCCAAGGCAUUGGUACAACAGGUUUGAUAUAUUCCAAUUGAAAUAUAGUUUUAAAAAAACGUGGAUGUGAUAGUUUUUUUGUACUAUAAGAACCUCCUAUCUAAUACUGCCACUUAUUUUCCAUUGUUUUUGUGUAUUAUAAGAAUGCCUUAUAAUGCCACUUAUUUGCUAAUCUAUGAUGACAUGUUCAUAGCAUCUAAUAGACUAAAGUCAUUUUUUUCAAAGUGAGUUAAAGACGAAGGAUCUUGGACUAGCCAAGAGGAUUCUAGGGAUUGAAAU